rnacentral:rRNA from 1 species
GAUGAACGCUGGCGGCGUGCCUAAUACAUGCAAGUCGAGCGAACAGACGAGGAGCUUGCUCCUCUGACGUUAGCGGCGGACGGGUGAGUAACACGUGGAUAACCUACCUAUAAGACUGGGAUAACUUCGGGAAACCGGAGCUAAUACCGGAUAAUAUAUUGAACCGCAUGGUUCAUUAGUGAAAGACGGUUUUGCUUUCCCUUAUAGAUGGAUCCGCGCCGCAUUAGCUAGUUGGUAAGGUAACGGCUUACCAAGGCAACGAUGCGUAGCCGACCUGAGAGGGUGAUCGGCCACACUGGAACUGAGACACGGUCCAGACUCCUACGGGAGGCAGCAGUAGGGAAUCUUCCGCAAUGGGCGAAAGCCUGACGGAGCAACGCCGCGUGAGUGAUGAAGGUCUUCGGAUCGUAAAACUCUGUUAUUAGGGAAGAACAAAUGUGUAAGUAACUAUGCACGUCUUGACGGUACCUAAUCAGAAAGCCGCGGCUAACUACGUG